rnacentral:snRNA from 1 species
AUAUUUACCUGGUGCUGGGGCCUCGUUGAUCACCGAGUACGAGCCCCCAGGGCAAGACGCGGGCAUUGCACUGCGCUCGCGUUGACCCCUUCCCCUAACCGAAAAUGGAGCAGAUGGGGCAUGCUU